CGACCGGCGCACGGGUGAGUAACACGUAUGCAACCUGCCCUCUUCAGGGGGACAACCUUCCGAAAGGGAGGCUAAUCCCGCGUAUAUCGGUUUCGGGCAUCCGAGAUCGAGGAAAGAUUCAUCGGGAGAGGAUGGGCAUGCGGCGCAUUAGCUAGACGGCGGGGUAACGGCCCACCGUGGCGACGAUGCGUAGGGGUUCUGAGAGGAAGGUCCCCCACACUGGUACUGAGACACGGACCAGACUCCUACGGAAGGCAGCAG
rnacentral:rRNA from 1 species